CAGUAGCCGCGGUAAUACGUAGGGUGCGAGCGUUAUCCGGAAUUAUUGGGCGUAAAGAGCUCGUAGGCGGUUUGUCGCGUCUGUCGUGAAAGUCCGGGGCUUAACCCCGGAUCUGCGGUGGGUACGGGCAGACUAGAGUGCAGUAGGGGAGACUGGAAUUCCUGGUGUAGCGGUGGAAUGCGCAGAUAUCAGGAGGAACACCGAUGGCGAAGGCGACUCUCUGGUCUGUAACUGACGCUGAGGAGCGAAAGCGUGGGGAGCGAACAGGAUUAGAUACCCCUGUAGUCCCUGUCUCUUAUAC
rnacentral:rRNA from 1 species